CUUAAAUUUUUUGCAUUUUGCCAAAUAUUAUGACAGAGCCAUAGCAAUCCUAAAAUUCCACUAACUUUAUGAUGGGCAAUAUUUAUUUCGCAUAUUUUUAUUAGUAUAAUUGGUGAAACUGAUCCUAAUGGAUACUGGAUAAUACAAGACACUGCAGUACCUGAAGCAUUAGAAGGAGAGGGAGAGGAGGAGAAAAGAGGACCAGAGACAAUAUACAUGUACGAGGGAAGAGACUAUUCUAAAGUUGAUGAGAAAGACCAAAAAACAUUUAAAGAAUUAUUAUCAGAACGGUGCAAUGAUUGAUCCUCCUUUUGAUAUACUUCUUGUUCAUUAUGAGCUAUUGAUGAUGAUUGCAAUUUUUUUGUUCUUAAAGACACAAAUUUCUUACAAAAGUGACUUUUGUUGUACAUAUACUUGUGUCAGUUCAUAUUGGCAAGUUUUAAUUCAAAAUGUGCCAAACCAAAA